GUGCUGUGUCAUUUUUUUUCCUUUUCUUCCACUGAAAUAAUCUUAUUUAUUUGAACCUUCCAAAGGUGGAUAUGGUUAUAGAAGAAGUGGCCGAGAUAAAUAUGGCCCUCCUACUCGCACAGAGUACAGACUUAUUGUGGAGAAUUUGUCAAGUCGGUGCAGCUGGCAAGACCUAAAGGAUUAUAUGCGUCAGGCAGGAGAAGUGACUUAUGCAGAUGCUCACAAGGGACGCAAAAAUGAAGGGGUGAUUGAAUUUGUAUCUUAUUCUGAUAUGAAAAGAGCUUUGGAAAAGUUGGAUGGAACUGAAGUCAAUGGGAGAAAAAUCAGAUUAGUUGAAGACAAGCCAGGUUCCAGACGACGCCGGUCCUACUCCAGAAGCCGGAGUCAUUCAAGGUCUCGCUCUCGAAGCAGACAUUCCCGUAAGAGCAGAAGCCGAAGUGGCAGCAGCAAAAGCAGUCAUUCUAAGAGUAGAUCUCGGUCCAGGUCGGGCUCCCGCUCCCGGAGCAAGAGCCGGAGCCGGAGCCAGAGUCGGAGCCGGAGCAAGAAAGAGAAAAGCAGGAGCCCCAGCAAGGAAAAGAGCCGCAGCCGCAGCCAUAGCGCUGGCAAGAGCCGCAGCAAGAGCAAAGACCAAGCUGAAGAGAAGAUCCAAAACAAUGACAAUGUCGGGAAACCCAAGAGCCGGAGUCCUAGCAGGCAUAAAAGUAAGAGCAAAAGUCGGAGCAGGAGUCAGGAGAGGAGAGUGGAGGAGGAGAAGCGAGGGAGUGUGAGCAGGGGCAGGAGCCAGGAGAAGAGCCUCCGCCAGAGUCGGAGCCGGAGCAGGAGCAAAGGGGGCAGCAGGAGCCGGAGCAGGAGCCGCAGCAAGAGCAAGGACAAGAGGAAGGGCAGGAAGAGAAGCAGAGAGGAGAGCCGCAGUCGCAGUCGCAGCCGCAGCAAGAGUGAGAGGAGCAGAAAGCGAGGCAGCAAGCGAGACAGCAAGGCGGGCAGCAGCAAGAAGAAGAAGAAGGAAGACACUGACCGCUCCCAGUCCAGAUCUCCAUCCCGCUCCGUGUCAAAGGAGCGGGAACAUGCCAAGUCUGAAUCCAGCCAGAGGGAAGGUCGAGGAGAGAGUGAGAAUGCUGGCACCAAUCAGGAGACCCGGUCCAGGUCGAGAUCCAAUUCCAAAUCGAAACCAAACCUUCCAUCAGAAUCACGCUCCAGAUCAAAGUCAGCUUCAAAAACCCGAUCUCGGUCCAAGUCUAGAUCCAGGUCUGCUUCCAGAUCGCCCUCCCGAUCUAGAUCUAGGUCCCACUCAAGGUCCUAACUGGCUAUGGCCACAGCUGGAACUACCCGAGAAGUCUUUUGUACAUGUUUGGUAGCCGUAGCACAAGUGAUUGGAGUAGAACAUGUCACUGCUGUACAUUUUUAACUCCCCUAAUGGUGUGUCUAUAAUUGUUAAAUCUAAGUGCUUCCUCUCAGUAAAGCCUCCUGGCACCAGGCCUUCCUGCUCGACUGAAAAAAAUUUUCUCUUUGAAAAUCCCCUUUUACUCAUGGCCCACAGUAGAAUAUCCAAAACGCCUUGGCUUUCAGGCCUGGCCUUUCCUACAGGGAGCUCAGUAACCUGGACGGCUCUAAGGCUGGAAUGACCACAUAGGUAGGUAUGGUGAGUUCAACCAUUUUUGCUCUUGAAUUGAUGCCCUUCGAUGUAUGCCAUUUAGUGAAAGUGCUAAGUCUUAAGUUUCCUACCACUUUGGUUUCAUAUUUUUGGACUUAACAAAGUUGUGAAUAGCACAGUCGAGGAAAAUUGAUACCUGCAGUAACCCAUAGGAAAUAAACUGUAGAGUUCCAUAUUCUGGUAUUGUGAUUAUAUUGUUUU
rnacentral:lncRNA from 1 species